UCGAAUAGGACAUUUGGCUCAACCGGUACUCUUGUUAAUGCUUCGCCUGAGUCUUUAACCCUUCGCUGAAUUAAUCCAAGUUGCUACUUUCAACAUUCCAAUUCGUCAAGGAACUCCCUAACCCUCUUUUGAAAUGGAUUUAAGGACUCGACAAAUUCCUUCCACGUGAUUGAACCGCUCUCCCCAAGCCCUCAUGCAAAGACUUCCUUCCUCUAAUUUUCCUUUUAGUUCUAUUUGAGAUUACCCUCAGCUUGUACUCCCGAUUUUGAUCCUGACACAUCAGCUGUUUGCUAUUUAUCUUAUUGUCGCCCUCAAUAAUCAUGAAGGUCUUUUAAACGUUCUCAUCAUAAAACCUGACUGUGAUCAUUAAGAAUAUGUAAAAGCAAAGCUUCAAGGACAGAAAUGAAGAGGGUGACCAAACAUGGAUCAUUACUGGAAAUGUCUACAUCCUGUUACCAUAACAACGCAAGUGCUGAAUGUGUUUUUUUUGUCACUGCUGGAGUUCUGCUUGAGUUCUGCAUGUAGAUGGGAAACAAAGCUGCUUACCAGGGAAGGAAGUUUGUCAUCCUUACCUGCUCUGACCUACAUGACAGCAAUAUGGUUAACAUUUACCUGCUCUAUGAAUUGACCUAGGAAGAAACUCAGUCAAGGGCAACUAGGGACUAGCAACAAAUGCAGGUUGAACAAGUAACACCCACUUCUAAUGAAUGAAUAAAAAGAGAAUUGGAAGCCUUCACUGGAGGGAGACUUUACAGAAGAUGUGGGAUGAUUAACAGAAUCAAGGUCACCAAUCUUCAAGCCAAUGACCUACCAAUCUCCAAGUCCUAAGAACAG